AUUGAACGCUGGCGGCAUGCCUUACACAUGCAAGUCGAACGGCAGCGGGCCCUUCGGGGUGCCGGCGAGUGGCGAACGGGUGAGUAAUGCAUCAGAACGUACCCGGGAGAGGGGGAUAACCGGCCGAAAGGCUGGCUAAUACCGCAUGAACUCGGAAGAGCAAAGCGGGGGACCUUCGGGCCUCGCGCUCUCGGAGCGGCCGAUGUCCGAUUAGGCUAGUUGGUGGGGUAAAGGCCCACCAAGGCGACGAUCGGUAGCGGGUCUGAGAGGACGAUCCGCCACACUGGGACUGAGACACGGCCCAGACUCCUACGGGAGGCAGCAGUGGGGAAUCUUGGACAAUGGGCGCAAGCCUGAUCCAGCAAUGCCGCGUGGGUGAAGAAGGCCUUCGGGUUGUAAAGCCCUUUCGGCGGGGAAGAAAUCGGUCAGGCGAAUAGUCUGGCCGGAUGACGGUACCCGCAGAAGAAGCACCGGCUAACUACGUG
rnacentral:rRNA from 1 species